CACGUAGGGCGCAAGCGUUGUCCGGAAUUAUUGGGCGUAAAGAGCUCGUAGGCGGCUUGUCGCGUCGAAUGAUGAAACGUCGGGGCUCAACUCCGAGCUUGCAUUCGAUACGGGCAGGCUAGAGUUCGGUAGGGGAGACUGGAAUUCCUGGUGUAGCGGUGGAAUGCGCAGAUAUCAGGAGGAACACCGAUGGCGAAGGCAGGUCACUGGGCCGCAACUGACGCUGGAGGAGCGAAAGCAUGGGGAGCGAACAGG
rnacentral:rRNA from 1 species